rnacentral:rRNA from 1 species
AAGAAUGUGAAUUGAUCUACAUUUGUAAUGAACUGAAAAUUGGUUACCCUAGUAGUUGUUUGGACCGAGUCGGAUAUAGUUGGCUUGCCAUUUGUUCAAAAUUGUAACGACCCGAAAGCCAGUUGUGUCGGAAGUGAAGGUUUUGGAACCCCAUUUUUUAUGUUUAAGCUCAUAAAUAUUAGCGAGGAAAUGCAUAGAGAUCAGAAAGAACACCAACGGCAAAAGCACUUUACUGGGCCGACACUAACACUGAAAGACGAAAGCUAUUGGAGCGAAUGGGAUCAGAUACCUAGUAAUCCUCGCCAGAAAUAAUGAAUACUAGGUGUUGUGUGUAUCGACCUGUGCACUGCUAUAGCUAGCGCAUUAAGCAUCUAGCUUGGGGUGUACGUUCACAAGAAUAAAACUCAAAAGAAUUGACGGUGGCCAACACAAGCGGUAGAGCAUGUGGUUUAAUUUGAUGCAAAGUGAAGAACCUUACUAGGGCUUAACAUGCCGCGAAUCCUUUUGAAAGGGAGGGGUGCCUUAUCGAAUACGGACACAUGUGGUGCAUGGCUGUUGUUAGCUUGUGUCGUAAGUUGUUGGAUUAAGUCCCGCAAUGAGCGCAACCCUCAUGUUUAGUUGCCACUGUUGAGUAUGGAACCCUUAACAGACUAGCGGUGAUAAGCCGGAGGAAGGUGAGGAUGACAUUAAGUCAUCAUGCCCCUUAUGCCCUGGAGGACACAUGUGUUACAAUGGAUGGGAUAAAGGGUUACGAUCCCACGAGGGUGAGCUAACUCCAAAAAUCCAUUCUCAGUUUAGAUUGCAGGCUGUAACUUGCCCGCAUGAAGCCAGAAUCGUUAGUAAUCGCCAGCCAGCCAUACAACGGUGAAUUCAUUCCCAGGCCUAAUACACACCGCCUGUCACACUAUGGAAACUAGCCAUGCCAGAAGUUGUUACUUUAACCACAGAAAAGGGAUACCGAAGACAGGGCUAAUGACUGGAGUGAAGUCGUAACAAGGUAGUCGUACUGGAAGGUGCGGCAGGAUCACCUCCUUU